rnacentral:rRNA from 1 species
AGACGGAGGGGGCUAGCGUUGUUCGGAAUUACUGGGCGUAAAGCGCGCGUAGGCGGACCAUCAAGUUGGGCGUGAAAGCCCUGGGCGCAACCCAGGAAUUGCGCUCGAAACUGGUGGACUAGAGUCCGGGAGAGGAUAGUGGAAUUCCCAGUGUAGAGGUGAAAUUCGUAGAUAUUGGGAAGAACACCAGUGGCGAAGGCGGCUAUCUGGACCGGUACUGACGCUGAGGUGCGAAAGCGUGGGGAGCAAACAGGAUUAGAAACCCCGGUAGUCC